CAAAUCUUUUGUGUGGUGGUGGCUAGUGGUUGGGGGAGUGGUGGUGGUGCUGGUUAAUUUCCAGCCUCAUCGCACUCACUCACUCGCACCCCUCACCCACAACAUAUGCACAGGGCCGCAAGGCUCUGAUGUUUACGCUUGUUUGUUUGACAGAUUUAUAUGUGAUUAAAAUUGA
rnacentral:misc_RNA from 1 species